UAAUAGAUAUUAUAAAUCUCUUAUGAUUUAUGAUCCCAAAAUUACAACUGAAAUUACUCGUCGAUAUGAAUAAUACAUCGACAAAACUGCUUUCAUAAAUUCGCAAAAAAACGAUCCCUACCAAAAACUCCACCACAAAUAUUGUAAAAUUUCUCGAUCAUUUGUCUGCAUGAACAGCUGAACGAAUUUUAUUACCCAUUACCCACCAAACAAGAAGAAGAUGGAAGAGAGAAGGAUAAAAACGCACAAUUUGUUUCGGAAAUUUGAAAAGGAAGCACUAUGUACCAGAUUCCAAGAUAGAAAAUAACCUGUUCUUGCCACUAAGGGUGACUAAGAGCUGGACCACCCUGUGUUCUCACGGUGUCGUGGACCAAUGGUCAUCCUCCGUGCAUCGAAGAAAUAAAGAAGCGAGUCUCCACGUGGUGGGGAAUGUUUAGAAUUUGAAAAAGAAAAUUCCACUUCUUAAUUGUUCGCGUUUAACGGCAAAGAACUGGUUUCGCGUAUUUCAAGAGACGAAAAUCUGGGUUUGUCGGUCAGUAUCGGGGAUGCUGCGCUCCAUGCAGCAUCCCUUCGUCUCGUAAAGUAAUUUUUCACGAUCCAAUGAUAGUUCUCGACCGUCGCGCUUCAAAGUAUCCCUCUUGGCUCAUAAAAUAAUUUUAUUGCGUCUCGAUGUGUCUCGCGUUAAAAAUCAGUCGUUUCUCAAACGUGUUCGGUCGUAAAAUAAAAUCGUGUAAUAAAAUUUUACGGCUCUGUUCGUUUUUCGUAAAAAAAUAGUGACUUCGAUGAUCGUUCCACGUCUUCGUUCUUGUAAUACUUCGGCACAACGCGAGCGGAGAACAGAGGAGGCCGGAUAAUAGCGACGGAGGAACCGGAAAGCAUAAACCCGCGCAAAAGUGGGAGCCACUUCAAGCGUUUUCUGCGGCCCAACCCUUCCGAAAAUUAUCCACGGCGACUUGGCCAGACACGUCCUACCCUAACACGGGAUGAGAAGCAUUCUUUGUCGAUAUUAUACUCUUGAAAAAAUUUUGUCAGGUCAAGAAGAUGGAUCCGUAAAGAGAGAUAAGCGUUAAGAGAGGGAUUAAACGGAUAAGAGAUUUUCCUUAGUUUCGAUAAUGGAGAGAAAAUUUUCUUUAAAAGAUACAGAAAUUAUAGUAAUGAGAAAAUAAGAUAAUUCGUGUUCUACUAGACAUUCUUCAUCGAUAUUACCUGCUUUUGAAAAUAUUUCAUCAAGUUAAGAAUAUGAAGGUAUAAGAAAGAAAAGAAGUGAUGACAAAAUUUGUCUUCCAUUUUAAUAGGAAAAAUAUUUUAUCUUCGAAAAGUAUUUUCUUUAAAAAAAAAACUCAAUUGUAGUAGAAAGAAAAUAAUACAUUUCGUGUCUCGUCAGCGUAAAACCUUGUACAAAAUUUAAAAAAAGAAAAAUAGAGAAGAUAUGCGAGUAAAUAGAAGAGGGAGCAAAAGCUUUUAAAUUGUGGAUAAAACUGGAAAAUGAUAAAAUUCAGAAAGAUUGAAAGAGACACGUGUUACAUCGUGCCGUUGCAGUUUUUAUAAAGAAACAAAGAAAAAUUAC